AUUCUAUGUCUUCCCUCCUGUCCAAAUGGCAGAGAUUGAUCCAGGGGUCAGUCUGUUCCCAAGUGGCAUACCUUGGCUCUAUGUGGUGUUUGCUAUACUCUUUGUAUUUUUCCUUUUUGUCAUGUUCUCGCCUUUUUUGCUCGAGAUAGACCAGCACACCAAGAAAUUCUUUCUCAGGUGCCGAUGUUCUCUGCGCAAUGUUUCCUAUAAGGAUAAAGACAAUAUUAAGAUGAAGAUGAACCAUCUGGGAGGGGCAAGAUGUCUUCUUCAGGCCCGUGGGAGAGAAGCUCCAAGAAGAGAGGCAGCUGGUGGGAGAGGAGACAGCUCAGUUCUGGUGGAGAUGGUGGGAGAGAGGACCCAGGAAGUCUGCCCAGUGACAGCAGUUUGAGGCGACCACAUCUGCGUCACAUGUCACAGAAAGGUGCUUCUAGCAUUCUCAUCAUUAUUUAUACUUAAGCGAAUGUGAUAAUAAAGAUUUUGAGCAUCUCAGAAACGAUCA